rnacentral:rRNA from 1 species
UACGUGGGUGGCAAGCGUUGUCCGGAUUUAUUGGGUUUAAAGGGUGCGUAGGCGGUCCUAUAAGUCAGUUGUGAAAUACGGCAGCUUAACUGUCGAGGUGCAAUUGAUACUGCAGGACUUGAGUACAGACGAGGUAGGCGGAAUUGACGGUGUAGCGGUGAAAUGCUUAGAUAUCGUCAAGAACACCGAUAGCGAAGGCAGCUUACUAGACUGUAACUGACGCUGAGGCACGAAAGUGUGGGGAUCAAACAGG